rnacentral:misc_RNA from 1 species
GGGCAGAUUGAGCCUGGGAGCUCUCUGCCC